ACACAUUUGCCUCAAAGCCGAGCUCGACAGGAUCCACCAUGGCCUGGGCCCCCCUGCUCCUCGCCCUGCUCACUUACUGCUCAGGGGUCAGGUCACAGCCUGUGGUGACUCAGGAGCCCUCCAUGUCGGUGACCCCAGGAGGGUCCGUCACGCUGUCCUGCAGCCAGAGCACUGGAGCCAUCACCAGCAGCAUCUAUCCUGGCUGGUUCCAGCAGAAACCUGGAUCAGCUUCUGGGGCCAUAUCUGGUAACAGCGCUGUCCUGACCAUCAGCGGUGUGCAGGCACCGGACAAUUCUGACUAUCACUGUGCUGUAUGGACUGGUAGUGCAAACCACAGUGUCUUCAUCCUCCCAGCCAGGGUUCUGCACUAGCUGCAUAAUUUGGUUCCUACCUUCAGUAGA